UGAGCUGGAUAAUUACACAACUAUGAGGGAUUACAGUAUAAUUAAGGAGAAUGAUGUGCCCGAGAGGAUGCAGAUAUUUGAAGAAAUUUCUGGACCAGCUCCAGUUGAUGAAAUGAGUAGAGAUGAGGAGAGUUCUUGGAUACUUAAUCAACUUGCUGCAAAUAUAAAUAUUCUGUUGUGCAAGAAGAAAGCUCAGGAAGAAAGUGUGAUGAACAUAGAUCUACUUAAGAAGAUUAACAAGGAAGAUAUCAUGAGGUUUCUGGAAUUGCGUCAUCUGGAGAAGUAUGACAUUCCAUUUAUUGCUAUGUAUCGAAAGGAAAAGUGCCUUAGUCUGUUGCAAGAUCUCGAGGAAGAUGACAUAGAAAACAAAUAUGAUAAUGAUGGAAUAGAAGGUACCAGACUGAAGUGGCAUAAGAUUCUCUGGGCUGUGAAUGAACUGGACAAGAAGUGGUUGCUUCUUCAGAAGCGAAAGAAUGCGCUUGAGACGUGUUACAACAAACGUUAUGAAGAGGAAAGUUG
rnacentral:misc_RNA from 1 species